UCCCUGACCUGACCCACUUCAGCAGCCCUGUUUUCAUACAAAAAAAAGCAAUGGACUUCUGAGGAGAAGAGAUGCUGCGGCGUUUAAGAGCACGCAAGCACUGGCUGUUCCUCCAGAGGGCCCAGGUUCAAUUCUCAACACCCACAUAACAGCUCACAGCAAUCACUAACUCAGUUCCAGGAGAUCAAGCACCCUUGAUCUGCUUCAUUGCAUGUAGACAUAUAUACA
rnacentral:lncRNA from 1 species